UUAUAUAUAGAUCUAUCUUCCUCCCAAGCUCCAAACGCACACACAUACAUGCAAAUAUCUUUAUAAAAUAUAUUAUAUAAUAUAUCAGCAGGCAAAAUUAUAAUAUAUACUAUAUAAUAUUAAUAUUAAUAUGUCUAUCACACACGUAUGUAUGUAAAAAUUGUAUUUUAAAAUUUAUAUUUGUAUAAAAAUUGCAAUAUAAAUAAUACAACAUAUAGUUUGAAACAAG
rnacentral:lncRNA from 1 species